UAAUAAUGCACAAGUUAAAUAAUACUUCAUGAAUCUUGAAUAAAACUGACAAGGGAACAUCCACAGUGGUUGUGCCUUAAUUGGUCUUCCAAAAGCGGAGGGAAUGCUCAGGAUUUCCAACACUUUUAAAAGUCCUGGGCAAUUUGUGACCAAGUGAAAGCCUAAUGCAAAAGACAGAGCACACAUACCUGUAAGAGGCAUUUCCAGCCAUUCUAGGACAUCUCUCGCCAUCGUCAAUCAUCUGAUCAAAUUCAAUCAGGCAGCAAUGUUGAUCAUGGCUUCGCUUGGAAUCACGCGAAUCCUCCUCACCCGAACCCGUACUAAACCCAUUCAUCUUUGAAAUCCUCUCUCCCUCGCACGAUUGAUCGAAAGUCACAACAAAGGCAAUCGCGAAAGUCACCUUUCACUACAACGUACACAACGAACUGUGGACGCUCUUUCACGAAUUGCGUAUGAAAGCCAAAACAAACUGUUUACUUGAAAUCUCACGAUUACCGUACAACCUACUAAGAAAACGGAGGAAAUCUCCCCUUAAUUCUUCGCAAUAAUUGACUUUUGUUUAGCUACUUUUCAAUGUAUCCAAU